rnacentral:misc_RNA from 1 species
GCUCCGUUGGUGAACCAGCGGAGGGAUCAUUACCAGAGUUUUACAACUCCCAACCCUUCUGUGAACCUACCUAUCGUUGCUUCGGCGGACUCGCCCCAGCGUCCGGACGGCCCCGCGCCGGCCCGCGACCUGGACCCAGGCGGCCGCCGGAAACCACACAAUCCUGUAUCCAUCAGUCUCUCUAAAUCCGCCGCAAGGCAAAACAAACGAAUCAAAACUUUCAACAAUGGAUCUCUUGGUUCUG